rnacentral:tRNA from 1 species
GUCCCUGUGGUGCAAAAGGUUAAGCACUCGACUAGUAAUCUAAAGGUUGGUGGUUUGAACCCAUCCAGUGAUA